UCCAGACUCCUACGGGAGGCAGCAGUGAGGAAUAUUGGUCAAUGGGCUUACGCCUGAACCAGCCAAGUCGCGUGAGGGAAGACUGCCCUAUGGGUUGUAAACCUCUUUUGUCAGGGAGCAACGCCGGCUACGUGUAGCCGGACUGAGAGUACCUGAAGAAAAAGCAUCGGCUAACUCCGUGCCAGCAGCCGCGGUAAUACGGAGGGUGCAAGCGUUGUCCGGAAUCAUUGGGCGUAAAGAGUUCGUAGGCGGCAUGUAAAGUCAGGUGUUAAAGGCGCAGGCUCAACCUGUGUAUGGCACUUGAUACUUGCAAGCUGGAAUGCGGUAGAGGUAAAGGGAAUUCCUGGUGUAGCGGUGAGAUGCUUAGAUAUCAGGAGGAACAUCGGUGGCGUAAGCGCUUUACUGGGCCGUAAUUGACGCUGAGGAACGAAAGCCAGGGUAGCAAAUGGGAUUAGAUACCCCAGUA
rnacentral:rRNA from 1 species